UUAACUGUAAUAACGGAAAUUAGCAUACAGUACCUAUACAGCACACAGGACUAACAAAAACAACAACAUGACAGACGAUUUUCCGAAAGUAAAUUUUAAUAUUUACGGUGAAUAUGAAACUUUCAACAACUGGGCUGCAGCAGUAUUAGUUAGCCUAGUGUACCAGCUUAAAGGCUACACAUGACAUUUCUCACUAGCGAGGUAAUAACAGCGCUGCAUCUUAAAGCAGACUUACAGUUUAGAGACGGUGCUUCAGAACACUGUUGAGGGACACACAGAGCUAAAGCACGAAAACAGAAGCAAAGUGAAUGCCGAACAGGACCUCCAGAUAGCAGACUUCAGUUACCCCAAACGUAUUAAGAAGAGGCAGCUCCAGGUUUCUCAUUAAUAAGAAGUGGAUCAUAAAAAUCAGGUUCACAGGCAGGGCAACGAGGAGAGAAGUUAGGACGAUUCCAGGGGCUCAUGAAUGACAGGGACCGAAAAAAAAUUGGAAGAAAAUUGGAUUGGUCUGGG